rnacentral:rRNA from 1 species
AUUGAACGCUGGCGGCAUGCCUUACACAUGCAAGUCGAACGGCAGCGGACCUUCGGGUGCCGGCGAGUGGCGAACGGGUGAGUAAUAUAUCGGAACGUACCUUUCAGUGGGGGAUAACGUAGCGAAAGUUACGCUAAUACCGCAUAUUCUGUGAGCAGGAAAGCAGGGGAUCGCAAGACCUUGCGCUGAUUGAGCGGCCGAUAUCAGAUUAGCUAGUUGGUGAGGUAAAGGCUCACCAAGGCGACGAUCUGUAGCGGGUCUGAGAGGAUGAUCCGCCACACUGGAACUGAGACACGGUCCAGACUCCUACGGGAGGCAGCAGUGGGGAAUUUUGGACAAUGGGCGCAAGCCUGACCCAGCCAUGCCGCGUGAGUGAAGAAGGCC